rnacentral:lncRNA from 1 species
UAGCCCAAGCCUUACCCGACCCAGUCCCUCUUUAAACAUCCAGACGACUCCGUUUAAGACUUUUGAUCUCCACCAUUCAUUUAAUCUCAUCCUACGGACGAGAAUUGACCACCUCAUCCCCAUAUAACUGUCUGAACCGGGUCCCCUACCCCCAAAAAAUCCUAGAGAUUGAGUCCUUUUGAACGACUAGCUUUCCUGGUUUCUCUCCGAUCAUUUCAAUUCCAGCAGGUAUAUAGUUAUAUUCCCCUUUUGUGUACAAUUUUAAUUUCGUCACAUUUUCAAGCUUUGGCCAUGUUUCUGUAGUUCUUCAAAUAUGGUUUUGUUAAUCGAUUAGUUAGGCAAUUUCGCCUGCCAUCUUUGGAAUUAAUUGUUGUUUGUUGCAUGCUCUAAAAACUGGUCUUUUCUACUUAUUGAAUAUACUUUAGCCUUAAUUAGCCAUUAAUCUAGUUUAGGGUUUAUUACUUAUUUCUUCAUUAAUAUGUUUAACCAAGUAUUGGAGUUAAAGUAGAGGGACAGAAUUAAAAGAAGAGAUAAAAGCAGUUGAAGGACUAUAGAGUAAAACACAGAACUUCGGGGGGGGGGGGGGGUAAUUGAAAUAGGGAAAUUUGGGGAAUAUUUCUGCUAACUGCCUAAGAAGGUUCUAGAAUAGAGUGGAAGAGAUUUAAAAGCAAUAAACUGAAGAAUUUAGGUUAAAAAAGGAUUUAAGAGUCAAAAAUGAAGAAGUAAGAGGGGGCUGUAAAAUAAAGCAAGAAUAAUGUGAAUUGCCAGCUGUCAAAAUCUGUUAAAAAGAUGCUUCCUUCCUAUUUUUCAGCUGACACAUUCCUCAGAUUAUUCCCUCACCAUUGUGCAUAUAACACACCCUCAUAUUCUACAUAAAGACCUCACAUUCCCUCUCUCACACACACACACACUAAUUCUCUAUAGAUUUCUCACUCAUAUUCCCUUAUCCUCACUUAUUUCUCUAAAAAAACUCUGAAAUUCAAUUUAGAUACAGAAAAAUCCAAAAAAAGAAGAAGAUUCAAAGCUGUUUCUAAGUCCUACUCUGUUGCUGCAUAUCUCUUGGAUUUCCAUAGUUGUUUGAGUUAAAGAAUUCACCAUUUUUGCUACUGUAUUCAUUCUGCUGUGGUUGAGCCAUAGCUUUGAAGUUCAGACUUCUCUUUGUUUUUCUGUUGCUGUUUCUCUGCUAGUAGGUGCGUUCAUCCUCAUUUGCUAUUUUCUACUUGUAUCAUAAAUGAAAUCCUAACAUGCUCAUGCCUGAUUCAAUAGAUCCAGUGGGUUUAGUUGAUGAAGUUUGUUUAAAUUUCCAUCUCUUUAACAUGCGGUGUUGCUUGUAUGUUUUAACUAAGCAAUUUCAGUUGUUAUCACUCUCAUGAAUAAUUCGCUACUAGAAUUUCUAUUGAGUUUAAAUAUGAUUCAAGUGUAAGGUGACUUUAAGGGUGAUGAAAUCGGGAAUCUAGUCACCUGCUGUUUAGAUUCACUUUUGAAGAAGCUAGCUCAGUGGAUUCCGAUUAUAAAGUGCAGUGGUUCCAUGGUUGCUCCCUCAAUGAAAGUAGUAACUAUAGAUUAAUUCUGUAACAUUUAAGACUGGACUGUAAAAUAAUGCUUGUAAUUGAUCGGUUGGUUUGUUGAUGUAAUUAGUUCAAUUUGAUAGGCUAUGAACCUCUCACGUGAUUCAGAUUAAUUGCAAAUCAAUGCUGGACUUGAAUGGUUGCAGAUUUUGUCCUAUAAUUCGUGCAGUUUUUUGUUAAUUUUUGGAGUUUGUGUUCACUCUAUUGGGCCUAAAAGAUAGAAUUGUCCAUUUUGUGGCCUGAUUAAUUAAUGAUGGAUUCUGGACUUCACCAAGGAGAGCCCAUUGAAGACCUGGGCAUUUGAGAUCUAAUUAGCCUCAGUCACAAUUCGAAUCAUUCUAUACAGUAACUGGGGAACACAUUUGUCUUCACCUCUGUUCUUGAUUAAAAUAACCAAAUUAGAAUUAGUAGGACAACUAUUUAUAUAUAAUUACGUCCAUCUUUCCCCACUAGUUAAAUUCCAUAGGCAUGUUUUUAAACUGUUGGUAAUUGUAACUUGAUUCUGAAUAUGUAAAAUAAUCCUUUAACUCACGUGCUCUCAUUCUUGGAUUUCAAUGAUCAAAAUCAUGUGUGCAUGAUUCACAAUAUGUGCAUACCACCUAUGACCUUACACCAAAAUCUCAAACCCGCAAAAAAUUGAAUUUAGCAAGGCUAAUCCACUUUUCUAUAACUAAUCUACUCUUUUUCUUCCACAACUAAUUUUCAUAAGCUUUUGGCCCCCACAGCAACCUCAAACUAGUAUAGAGAAAACUGAUUCUUAUAAACACCGUAGUGUGCUUUAGGCGCGACUUAAAAAGAUGAUUCAUCGUGACUAUGGGUACAGUUCCCGUGGCAUAGUCAUGAU